GUGGGAGCCUCUUAAUGGGGUGACUGCGUACCUUUUGUAUAAUGGGUCAGCGACUUAUAUUCUGUAGCAAGGUUAACCGAAUAGGGGAGCCGAAGGGAAACCGAGUCUUAACUGGGCGUUAAGUUGCAGGGUAUAGACCCGAAACCCGGUGAUCUAGCCAUGGGCAGGUUGAAGGUUGGGUAACACUAACUGGAGGACCGAACCGACUAAUGUUGAAAAAUUAGCGGAUGACUUGUGGCUGGGGGUGAAAGGCCAAUCAAACCGGGAGAUAGCUGGUUCUCCCCGAAAGCUAUUUAGGUAGCGCCUCGUGAAUUCAUCUCCGGGGGUAGAGCACUGUUUCGGCAAGGGGGUCAUCCCGACUUACCAACCCGAUGCAAACUGCGAAUACCGGAGAAUGUUAUCACGGGAGACACACGGCGGGUGCUAACGUCCGUCGUGAAGAGGGAAACAACCCAGACCGCCAGCUAAGGUCCCAAAGUCAUGGUUAAGUGGGAAACGAUGUGGGAAGGCCCAGACAGCCAGGAUGUUGGCUUAGAAGCAGCCAUCAUUUAAAGAAAGCGUAAUAGCUCACUGGUCGAGUCGGCCUGCGCGGAAGAUGUAACGGGGCUAAACCAUGCACCGAAGCUGCGGCAGCGACACUAUGUGUUGUUGGGUAGGGGAGCGUUCUGUAAGCCUGUGAAGGUGGCCUGUGAGGGUUGCUGGAGGUAUCAGAAGUGCGAAUGCUGACAUAAGUAACGAUAAAGCGGGUGAAAAGCCCGCUCGCCGGAAGACCAAGGGUUCCUGUCCAACGUUAAUCGGGGCAGGGUGAGUCGACCCCUAAGGCGAGGCCGAAAGGCGUAGUCGAUGGGAAACAGGUUAAUAUUCCUGUACUUGGUGUUACUGCGAAGGGGGGACGGAGAAGGCUAUGUUGGCCGGGCGACGGUUGUCCCGGUUUAAGCGUGUAGGCUGGUUUUCCAGGCAAAUCCGGAAAACCAAGGCUGAGGCGUGAUGA
rnacentral:rRNA from 1 species